rnacentral:rRNA from 1 species
GGAUUAGAUACCCUGGUAGUCCACGCCCUAAACUAUGAACACUAGACGUGUGCCGCCUAGCGGUACGUGUCCCAGCGAAAGCGUUAAGUGUUCCACCUGGGGAGUACGGUCGCAAGAUUAAAACUCAAAGGAAUUGACGGGGGCCCGCACAAGCGGAGGAGCAUGUGGUUUAAUUCGAUGAUACGCGAGGAACCUUACCUAGGCUAGAAUGCGCGUGACCGCCCCUGAAAGGGGGCUUUCCUUCGGGACACAAAGCAAGGUGCUGCAUGGCUGUCGUCAGCUCGUGCUG